rnacentral:rRNA from 1 species
CUCUAGCAUUCCCAGUAUUAGAGGCACUGCCUGCCCGGUGACACUAGUUAAACGGCCGCGGUAUCCUGACCGUGCAAAGGUAGCAUAAUCAUUUGUUCCCUAAAUAGGGACUUGUAUGAAUGGCCACACGAGGGCUUUACUGUCUCUUACUUCCAAUCCGUGAAAUUGACCUUCCCGUGAAGAGGCGGGAAUACAACAAUAAGACGAGAAGACCCUAUGGAGCUUUAAUUAACCGACCCAAAGAGACCCAUCAAUUUCAACCGACAGGAACAACAAACCUCUGUAUGGGCCGACAAUUUAGGUUGGGGUGACCUCGGAGAACAGAACAACCUCCGAGUGAUUUAAAUCAAGACUAACCAGUCGAAAGUAUUACAUCACUUAUUGAUCCAAAAGUUUGAUCAACGGAACAAGUUACCCUAGGGAUAACAGCGCAAUCCUAUUUC